UACGUAUGGGGCGAGCGUUGUUCGGAGUUAUUGGGCGUAAAGGGCGUGUAGGCGGCCCGACAAGUCUGGUGUGAAAUCGCAGGGCUCAACCCUGCGGGUGCGCUGGAAACGGUCGGGCUGGAGUCCCGGGGGGGAAGCUGGAAUUCCUGGUGUAGGAGUGAAAUCUGUAGAGAUCAGGAAGAACACCGGUGGCGAAGGCGAGCUUCUAUUCGAGGACUGACGCUGAGGCGCGAAAGCGUGGGGAGCAAACAGGAUUAGAUACCCUCGUAGUCC
rnacentral:rRNA from 1 species